GAGGGGGAGAAGCGGAAGUGGGUUCUCCCCGCAGGGAGGCCGGCUGGGUCCGGUUCCGGGUGUCACCUACUUGGCGGUGCUGGUGGAGGGGGGAGGAAGAUGGCGUCGGAGUUGGAGACGGAGGUUCAGGCCAUAGACAGGAACUUGCUGGAAUGUUCUGCCGAGGAGGCUGCCGUGAAAUGGCUACAAGCACCUGAUCUUCCUAAAGAAGUAUACCUGCAUCUAGCCUACUAUGUACCAAAAAUUUACUGCAGGGGUCCUAACCCUGCUCCACAAAGAGAAGACAUGCUCGCACAACAUGUACUGCUGGGACCAAUGGAAUGGUAUCUAUGUGGUGAAGAUCCUGCAUUUGGAUUUCCAAAACUUGAGCAAGCAAACAAACCUUCCCAUCUCUGUGGUCGGGUUUUUAAAGUGGGAGAACCUACAUACUCUUGCAGAGACUGUGCAGUUGACCCAACUUGUGUGUUAUGUAUGGAGUGCUUUUUGGGAAGUAUUCAUAGAGAGCAUCGAUACAGGAUGACAACAUCAGGCGGAGGAGGUUUCUGUGAUUGUGGUGAUACUGAAGCUUGGAAAGAAGGUCCGUACUGUCAAAAGCAUGAACUUAACACGGCAGAGACGGCAGAAGAGGAGGAUCCUCUGGUGCAUUUAUCGGAAGAUAUGAUAGCAAGAGCUUAUAACAUUUUUGCUAUCAUGUUUCAAUAUGCAGUAGAUAUAUUAACAUGGGAAAAAGAAAAUGAAUUGCCACCUGGUUUAGAGACUGUUGAGAAGAGUGACACUUACUACUGCAUGCUUUUUAAUGAUGAAGUCCACACGUAUGAACAAGUUAUAUACACUCUCCAGAAAGCUGUCAACUGUACACAGAAAGAGGCCAUUGGUUUUGCAACAACAGUAGACAGAGAUGGACGUAGAUCAGUCCGAUAUGGAGACUUCCAGUAUUGUGAUCAAGCAAAAUCAGUAAUAGUGAGAAAUACCAGUCGCCAGACAAAGCCACUGAAGGUUCAGGUUAUGCAUUCAUCUAUUGUUGCCCAUCAGAGCUUUGGUUUGAAGCUCCUGACUUGGCUUGGCAACGUUAUUGGAUAUUCAGAUGGCCUUCGUCGAAUAUUGUGUCAGGUUGGUUUACAGGAGGGACCAGAUGGUGAAAAUUCUUCUCUUGUAGAUAAACUAAUGCUGUCUGAUUCUAAACUGUGGAAAGGAGCUAGAAGCGUGUACCAUCAGUUAUUCAUGAGCAGUCUACUUAUGGAUUUGAAAUACAAGAAACUUUUUGCUAUCCGGUUCGCAAGAAACUAUGAGCGAUUGCAGAGUGAUUAUGUGAAAGAUGACCACGACAGAGAGUUCUCAAUUGCUGACCUCUCGGUACAGAUAUUCACAGUGCCUUCACUUGCUCGAAUGCUGAUAACAGAAGAAAAUCUUAUGACCACGAUCAUCAAAACUUUUAUGGACCACUUAAGGCACCGUGACAUCCAGGGCAGGUUUCAGUUUGAACGAUAUACUGCCCUUCAAGCUUUCAAAUUCAGGCGGGUUCAGAGCCUUAUUUUGGAUCUCAAGUAUGUGUUGAUAAGCAAGCCAGCUGACUGGACAAAUGACCUGAGGCAAAAGUUUUUAGAGGGUUUUGAUGCCUUCUUAGAAUUACUAAAGUGUAUGCAGGGUAUGGAUCCAAUAACUCGUCAAAUAGGACAGCAUAUCGAAAUGGAACCAGAAUGGGAAGCAGCAUUUACAUUACAGAUGAAAUUAACGCAUGUUAUUUCAAUGAUGCAGGACUGGUGUGCUUUAGAUGAAAAAGUACUUAUUGAAGCUUAUAAGAAAUGCUUGACUGUGCUGAUGCAGUGUCACAGUGGCUUUACUGAUGGUGAACAGCCUAUUGUUCUCAGUAUAUGUGGACAUUCUGUUGAGACCAUCAGAUACUGUGUUUCUCAGGAAAAAGUUAGCAUUCAUCUCCCAGUUUCUCGUUUACUUGCAGGUUUGCAUGUGUUGCUAAGCAAAAGUGAAGUGGCAUACAAGUUUCCAGAGCUGUUACCACUGAGUGAACUUAGCCCACCUUUGUUAAUAGAACACACGCUACGAUGUCUAGUUUUAUGUGCCCAAGUGCAUGCAGGCAUGUGGAGAAGAAAUGGGUUCUCCCUUGUUAAUCAAAUAUAUUACUAUCAUAAUGUGAAAUGCAGACGGGAGAUGUUUGAUAAAGAUAUAAUAAUGCUUCAGACAGGUGUGUCCAUGAUGGAUCCAAACCAUUUCCUGAUGAUAAUGCUGAGUCGCUUUGAACUUUAUCAGAUAUUUAGCACUCCAGACUAUGGCAAAAGAUUUAAUACUGAAAAUACCAAUAAGGAUGUAGUUCAACAGAAUAAUACUCUUAUAGAAGAAAUGCUAUAUCUAAUUAUAAUGAUUGUUGGAGAGAGAUUUAGUCCUGGAGUAGGACAGGUAAAUGCCACAGAUGAAAUCAAGCGAGAAAUUAUCCAUCAGUUGAGCAUCAGACCCAUGGCCCACAGUGAAUUAGUAAAAGCAUUACCAGAAGAUGAGAACAAAGAGACUGGAAUGGAAAGUGUAAUUGAAGCUGUUGCCUGUUUCAAAAAACCUGGAUUAACAGGCAGAGGAUUGUAUGAACUAAAACCAGAAUGUACCAAGGACUUCAAUCUCUAUUUCUAUCACUUUUCAAGGGCAGAGCAAUCUAAGGCAGAGGAAGCACAAAGAAAGCUGAAAAGACAAAACAGAGAAGAUACAGCACUUCCACCUCCUGUUCUGCCUCCUCUCUCUCCUCUUUUUGCAAGCCUGAUUAAUAUUCUCCAGUCCGAUGUCAUGUUGUGCAUUUUGGGAACAAUACUCCAGUGGGCAGUAGAACAUAACAGCUAUGCCUGGUCUGAGUCCAUGCUGCAGAGGGUUUUGCACUUGAUUGGAAUGGCACUACAAGAAGAAAAACAACACCUAGAGAAUCUCAAUGAAGAGAAUGUUGUAACAUUUACCUUCACUCAGAAGAUCUCAAGACCUGGUGAGGCACCCAGUAAUUCCCCUAGUAUAUUAGCUAUGCUAGAAACUUUGCAAAAUGCACCUCAUCUGGAAGUGCACAAGGACAUGAUCAGAUGGAUACUGAAGACUUUUAAUGCCAUUAAGAAACUAAGAGAGAGCUCUUCUACGAGUCCUGUGCCUGAGACUGAAGGAAAUAUUAUAGAAGAGGGUUCGCGAGAUAAAGACAAAGCUGAGAGGAAGCGAAAAGCUGAGAUUGCCAGGCUGCGCAGAGAGAAGAUCAUGGCUCAGAUGUCUGAGAUGCAGCGGCACUUCAUUGAUGAGAACAAAGAACUCUUUCAGCAGACUUUAGACGAACUAGCUACUUCAACCUCCAGAGUACUCGAUAAUAGUCCUACAGUUUCAGAUACAAAGCUUACAGCUUUGGGACCAAAGCAAACUAGAGUGACUGAACGGAGACAGGUUGUUACCUGUAUAUUGUGUCAAGAAGAACAGGAGGUUAAAGUGGACAGCAGGGCUAUGGUCUUGGCAGCAUUUGUUCAGAGAUCUACUGUAUUGUCUAAAAACCGGAACAAAGUUAUUCAGGAUCCUGAAAAAUAUGACCCAUUAUUCAUGCAUCCAGAGCUGUCAUGUGGAACACACACGGGUAGCUGUGGACAUAUUAUGCACGCUCACUGUUGGCAAAGGUAUUUUGAUGCUGUUCAAGCAAAGGAGCAACGAAGACAACAGAGAUUACGUGUGCAUACAAGUUAUGAUGUAGAAAAUGGUGAAUUCCUUUGCCCUCUUUGUGAAUGUUUAAGCAACACUGUUAUUCCUCUGCUUCCUCCACCAAGAGGUUUACUUAACAGCUUGGAUUUUUCAGACCAACCAAAUCUAGCUCAAUGGAUGAGAACAAUAUCCCAGCAAAUCAAAGCAUUAUAUAUACUUCGCGAUGAAGAAACUGCUCAUAAUUCUUGUGGUAACUCAGAAAAAAUGGAUGAGCUACAACUACCUAAAGGAUUUAGGCCAGACUUCCAACCAAAGAGUCUUUAUUCCGAAAGCAUUAAAGAGAUGCUGACAACAUUUGGUACUGCAACAUAUAAAGUGGGACUGAAGGUGCAUCCCAAUGAACAAGAUCUGCGUGUACCCAUAAUGUGCUGGGGUAGCUGUGCUUACACAAUACAGACUAUAGAAAGAAUUUUAGCUGAUGAAGAUAAACCAUUAUUUGGUCAUUUACCUUGCCGACAGGAUGACUGCCUUACUUCAUUAACAAGAUUUGCAGCAGCACAUUGGACAGUUUCAUCUCUUUCGGCAGUACAGGGUCACUUUUGUAGGCUCUUUGCAUCACUGGUGCCUAAUGAAAAAAAUGGAAAUCUUCCAUGCAUACUUGAUAUUGACAUGUUUCAUUUAUUGGUAAGCUUGGUGCUCUCUUUUCCUGCCAUAUACUGUCAGGAUUUUUCAGGGGUUAGUCUUGGUACUGGAGAUCUUCACAUCUUCCAUCUUGUCACAAUGGCACACAUAGUGCAAAUUUUACUUACUUCAUCAACAGAAGAAAAUGGCAUGGACCAAGAAAACCCUAAUGGUGAAGAAGAAGUAGCAGUGCUUACUUUGUAUAAAUUUCUUUGCCAGCAUACAGGAAGUGCCUUGAAAGAAAUGUCCUCAGGCUGGCAUCUGUGCAGGAGUAUAAAAGCUGGAAUUAUGCCUUUCCUGAGAUGCUCUGCUUUGUUUUUCCAUUAUUUAAAUGGAGUCCCAGCACCAUCAGAAAUUCAAGUAACUGGGGCAAGCCAGUUUGAACAUUUAUGUAGCUAUCUUUCCUUGCCAAACAACCUCAUUUGCCUUUUUCAAGAAAAUAGCAAAAUUAUGAACACAUUAGUAGAAAGUUGGUGUAGUAACAAUGAAGUAAAAAGGUACCUGGAAGGCAAAAGACAAGCCAUAAGCUAUGCAAGAGAAUCUAACAAAUUAAUAGACCUUCCAGAUGAUUACAGCUGCCUCAUUAAUCAAGCAUCUAAUUUCUCGUGUCCAAAAUCAGGUGGUGAUAAAAGCAGAGCACCAACAUUGUGCCUUGUAUGUGGGACCAUGCUAUGUUCUCAGAGUUACUGUUGUCAAACAGAGUUAGAAGGGGAAGAUGUUGGAGCCUGUACUGCACAUACAUAUACAUGUGGUUCUGGAGUGGGUAUAUUUCUCAGAGUACGAGAAUGUCAAGUGCUAUUUUUAGCUGGAAAAACAAAGGGCUGCUUUUAUGCUCCUCCCUAUCUUGAUGACUAUGGAGAAACAGACCAGGGACUCAGAAUUCAGGUCUAUCCGUCCUUUGUGCUUCAUUCAUAGCUGUCCAGAGGUGUGGGUCUCUUCCUCUUGUUCAUGUCUGCUAAUUACCUGGUAGCAGUUGUGCAGCUCAAAAAUAUCUGUCUCCUACAAUGUGUCUGUCCAUCUAACACAAUGAGGCUACUGCUCUUGGGAUCAGCUUUGUGAUGCUGGUGGAAGAAGCAGAAGUGGAUAUGAAAGAGAACACAAAGAACCCUCACAAAGGGAGAGGUCAGAAUCCUUGUCAUGAAAUUCUUCAUCUAGGUCAUCUUUUGCAAAGUUUUCUUACUGACAGAUCUGGACAUAAGAAACACCAAUCAACAGCUUGUCCUUUGCCAUGGACCAGCUGAGAUGAGCACCAGGUCAUGUGGAUUUCUAACUGAGAAGAAGGCAGUUUAACUUUGUGCUAUGCACAAUUUUCCUCAGCAAAGCAUGAAUGGUAGCAAGUGGAGUUUAGCAAAUGGACUUAUCUGUUGAUGCCCUCAUGCUAUUUCUAUUUUGUGGUGUAAAAAGCUAGUUUGAUUUUUCUCACAAUUGCUUUAUAUCCACCUUGAGGAGGUGGAAAGGUACAAUAAGAAAAAACCCAACAUGCAAAUGACCUGUAAUGUCCUGGACACCGAAAUGUAGAAUAUGGUGUGACAUACAGAACAUCCAUAACUGGCAAGUUAUUAACUGAUUCCAUCCAUCAAAAGAGGAGCUGUCCACUAGUUAAAAUAAAAGUUACAGUAGCUGUGUCUCUGGAAUACUGCUGGGGAGAACCAUUUAGAAAACAUACAAUUCAUUAGAAAAUAUAGCUAUUUAGCUGAACACUGAUUAGGCAGCUGUAGACAAAGCAUCUGAAGACCAGCAAUCAACUAGAUUGGUAAAAUGUGGUUGAGAGAAAAUACCCUCAAUUAGACAAGAGUAAAACUUUUGCAGAGGGAAGUUUAAAAAGCUCAGUGCCUGACCAUUGCGGAUGCUUAAUUCUUUAGAACUGUACCUAUACUACUAACAAUGUAGGUUAGGCUAGGUUUUGCCCUCUACAGUUUGUCUCUUUGCCUGGGCUUGUCCGGCAGCUGUGCAAACAAAUACCCCAGAUAUCCCUUUUCAAGAGCCCGUACACAGCAAAUUCAUUCUAUGUUUUAUUCCAGCUUCUUAGAGCCUUGAUGUUUCUCUGGCUACCACCAUAUUUUGAGUGAUAUACAAUGUGUUCCAAGUGCAUCUAAAAGUAAAUCUCUGACAAAGAAUUAAUAGAAUGACACCCUAAAUUUUCUCCUUGUAGCACCUUUUAUCAUGUGGUAAGUGAUAAAGGAAAUCAAAGGACCAUAAUCUGGCAAACUAAUCUUCUCAGAGAUUAGAUUAGUCUAAUUUUUUCCAGUGGUCUAAGGAUAGGUUUAAUGCAUUUUUCUACUUAAGGACAAAUGGAAUGGAUUUGUAAAUAAUUUGGAAAGCUCCUCUAAUGCUUUAAGUGUUAAUUUCCAAGGUGCCAUUUUUUGUUAUGAGUUGGUUGCCAGGAAUUCUCUGGAGAAAGAGCUUAGGUUUCAUAUUUUUUUAAACAUAUGUACAGAAUAACCAUAACUGGCAUAUGAUUGCUUGAUUUCACCCUUUAGUUUAAAUAUAGUUUAAAUUACUUUAAAUAUAAAAUUCAAUAUAAUAUCUUCCAUACCCCUUCAGGAUAUAUGGCUGAAAAACAUCCUGAGAAACAGUAAGUAUAAGCCGUAUCUUAGUUAUUAUCACGUUAGUUGCACUGUUCUAUUUAAUUACGAUUUUUACACAGUGCAUAAAUUCUCAGUACAAUUGUCUUUUAUUCUGUUCAUCUUGUGGUGAACAUGAAAGAAAAUACCAUCUCUUAGCAUAUUAACAAACAUCAUAUUAUAUGAGAGAUUUGUGAUAAUACCAGGUAAUCUAAAAGUUAUAUACAUUUCUGAAAAACUUUCCUUCAGGUUUAUUUUUAAAGAUUUUACUCCACAAAAUACCAACCUGUUUGCCUUUUAACUUUAAACAUUAAAGUAUGUUGCUCAAAUAAAUGUGUAAACGUGAGUAAAAAACAAUUAAGUUUUCAAAUGCCCUUUUUACAUUACCAAAAAAAAAAAAUAUAUGGAAAGGAUCACAAAGUGAUGUCAGCCAAUUUAAAAAAAAAAAUCUUUUGAAGUCUAACUAUCAUGCAGAUAUGUGUAGACCCAACUGUCCCGAACAAGUGAGCAUGGAGCCUUAAAGCCCUAAUUCUGGUCAUUUCCCAUAGAAGUUAUGGAGACCAUUACACUCACUAUGAACAUAGGUAAAUAUAUUAUCCCAAAGUGCACUAUAUAGCAUACCCCACAUAUAAAAAAGUAUGUAGAAAUGUAUACUUGUGAUGGUUUAUACAUUUUUCUAAAGUACGUAUUCACAAUUCUCAGUUUUUUCAUUUUUCUUUGAUAAAGUCCACCUCCGUCGAGAAGCUCAACUGACUGUUGAGAUGGCUGGAGUCUUUCCACCUUCCUCGCCUUCAGCCGCUUCAGCACCUGCAUCCACUUGAUUGAACUUACCAAUCUUUUUCAAACUUUCUAAUGCAGAUUUGAAAGUGUCUGUCAGGCUCUGCUCCAGCAGCCACCCCUCGCUUUCACAUUCGGGAUCCUCAGGAUUGGCGAUGCUUUCCAGAGCGGUUUGCAAAAGACGCAAACCAACCAUCACAGACACCUGCGUAGAAUGCAUUGGAAAAGGGCAAUGAAAUGCAGUAAACCCCUUCUACACAUGCGCACAGCUGAAUAGCUUCACCCUCUAGCACCACAGAAGUAAUACUCAACCUGUAAGUUGACUCUUGAGCCCUGCUGGUGGUAUAUGAGCCUCUGCAGGUCUGAGCAGCGCUCCAUUUUCUCUACCUGCAUCUCAGGUGAUUGCAGUGCAGUGCCAGGCACAGGAAUGCUCUCUGACAGGCUCAAAAAGGCUGUGCAACCCAGAGCAGUGGUAUGAGAUUCCCCCAAGAUUAAAUGAGUUGCCUGAACUCUCCCUUCUUUUGAGUAGCUAGGAGGAAGAAGAAAGUGGAGAGAUUCCCUUGCCCCCAAAGGGUCAGAAGCGGGAGGCAGGAUGGCAUAGCAAGGAGUGGGAGGAGGAGUAAAGACCCCAAGGAGCAAGGCAAGAGAAUGGGGCAGUAGAAAGGAGAAAUUAUGUUGCCUGGAAUGAGGGAGGAACCACAAAAUAACCACCAGGUGAUGUGCUCUCAUCCAUGAUUUCUGAUAUUUGGCUCACGGAUGGUGGUGACAUGGAAUCUUGCUGAGGGAGUACCCACAAAGUCAAGAAGUAGGUAUUACAACAUGUCAGACUGCUGCCCAAUGGUGAUUUUUUGUGUGCCUCUGACUCAGCUUGUUGUAAAAGUGACUCUCCAUCUCAUCAGAUGCUGCUGCUCUGUGGAGUAUAACCUUUCCAAAGGCAUUUGAAUGGCAAGUCCCAUGUCUCUGCACUCGACCUUAAUAAAACUUUGAGCAACAUCAGCUUUAGUACCUUCAGUCUAUUUUAACUAAACAUAAACUCAUUUUCAUGCUGACUUAUUGUCUUUGGCACAUAUCUUAAUAUGAUCAAGGAGAUUGUCCUGAACAAAAACCUGGUCAUGAGGUCCAGGACCCUAGUGAGUUUAGUGUGUGGACCAUCAGCUAAUUCAUUUGUAGUUCUGUUUUCUUUUUAUAUUUAAAAAGAUAAAGGCAACACAAGAAGCAACACCAGUGUAUUUGUCACUGUUUAAAUCUGAAAAAAAAAUUAUUUGGGUAAAAUAUUUACUAGUUCCAGAAACCUCCAUCAUAUAUUUUCUAUGGUGUUAGGGUGGUUUAACACCACUGACACUCACGGAGGAACCCAGUAGGCCUCAACUCUGACUUCGGAGAAUAAGAUGCCGUAUGGGAACCUUUUGUUUUUAAGAGUUCUUCUGUCUCCUAACGCUGUUCUGAACUGCUCAGCUCCCUGCUGUGCUGUAUUUAUGGAGAAGACUGAGCUGACUGAGAGACACUAGUGAGAGGAAGGAAGCACUGCCUCUAGAAGAGCCAACUUUAUGCAGCAUAAUAGAAGAGCAGCGGUUGACUGAGCUAGAAGGCAUACUCAGCUGGCUGAGGAUCAAUUCAGAUGAGAUAGGAGCCCCAGUUCCUGGCAUUCUCUGAUUGUAUGAAAAUCACACCUUUCACUGAAAAAAUGAAAGAAAAAAAUUCCACUCCUUAUUCCUACAGAGAAAAGCUUGAAAAUGUGACCUGGCUGCACCCUGAAGGUCUGGAAACUAAAAAGCAAAUAUUUUUUUUUUCAUUUAAUGAUUUCUGUCGAUUUCAAUAUUUCUGGGGCCUGAUUCAUGAUUUAAUUUACAUUUGAUUAGCAUUACCAUAUGGUCUGCUCCUCCAUCCUGUAAUUCAUUGCCUUUUUUCAUAUAUAUCAGUACAAAUAAGAAAUGUAUUUCCAUUCCCCUGUUUGUAAUGUCUCUUGGUUUUGAUUUUCCAUAAAGAUGCUGGCUGAUUUCCCCCGAUAUUAUAUGUUUUUACAAGAAGCAUCAAUGUCAGCGAUGGGUGGGGAUUGUUCAUUUUAAAAAACAAACAAACCCUGCAUGUUCUGCUUUUCCUUUGGGUAUGCAAUGAUUUUUAGAGGUGGGGAGGAAAUUGAAGGUUUCAAUUGUAUUUGCCAAUAAAAAGCAAAUUUAUCCUUUUAGAGAGGAAGUAAAAUAUAUGCAGACAGCACACCACCACUUUAUAUUAGGGCUGUAAUAAGUCUUUGAUUUGUAUUUAUUUAAACUUAAAGUAACUCCGCAUCAGAAUGAAAUAUUUAAAAUGGCUGCUCCCUACUGGCAGCAGCCAUUUUAGGUAUACUGCAAGGUAUGCUUCCGCAUAUUUCCCAACCUGAACUGCACCCUUCCCUGCUGACCUGGCUCCCUCCUGCUAUCCUGGCAGGCUCCGUACCCGUUCCCUCAUACCAACUCCAGCCAGUUCCAGCCGAUGCUCUGACUCCAUGAACAUUCAGUAUUCGCUAACUACCAUUGCCAGUUAGCUGGCAUUCACCCAAAUGCAGAAAACGUCUUCCUCGCACUGUACAGAAUGUAGCUUAAAAACAAAACUCCACUACCAGGAAUGGUGUCCAGUAAUAAUUGCAAUGUGCUGUUUUUAGACAAUAAUACAUACUAUGAUUUUUAGAAGCAGAAUGGAAAUGAAUUCCUGUUCUACAUUUAGCCAGUUCAACUAACCUAUCGUCUGUGCUCAAGUAGUUUGAUAGAAUCAGUCAGGAGGCCUAAACAAAAAUCCUGGAUCUGAACACCACUGAACCUUGUUGUGUUUGGACUCUGAACCUGGCUCCAGAUCCAAAUGUUAGGGAUGGCUUGAUCUCUUCACUGAAUUUUACUUUCACUUUCUGCUCCAAAAUACACUAGCCAUUUUGGGGUUUAAUAUUUUUGACUCUCAGUUGUCUGUGACUCUCUCUCUCUCUCUCUCUCUCUCUCAUUAUUUUGUAUUGAAACAGAAAUGAAAUCUGGUACCUUUUUUCUUUCUGACUAUUUGUCCAUGAUAUCUCAGUACAACUCUGGGAAGAGGGGCUGGUUUUAUAAAUUAACCUGUUCCUCUGUUAGCUGACUAAUUCUGAUGCACAGCACAAAAUAUUGUAGGCCACAAAACAAGCAUUAGCUAUUGUUUUAGAUUUGCCAUCCAUAGAUUGGUGGAUUAUUUAUUUUAAAUAGCUAUGUUAAAUGAGAAGUACAUUUUUCAAUGGAUAACAACACCGACUGUUUCUACAAUCACCGUUCUAAUCAAACAGACAUAGAUGGAGAAACUGCCAUGUCAGCAUGUUACCUCAAAAAGCCAGACAAAGAGGACAACACCACCCAUGGAGCUCAUCAUGCUGCUGUAGUAGAGCAGAAGUGCCUCCCUGCAGCCGCGGUUCCACAGGUUGAGCUCCUCUGUUUGGUAGUCGUAGCUGUAGUGAGCUGAGUUGUUAGUGACUUGGUACUGGAUGCAGGGUCUUGGGGAACUAGGAUUGCAGCAACUGAAGGGAACUCCGUCAACCAAGUACCUUCCAUCCACAUUGCUUUUAAUUCGACUAUGAAUGGACAAAGGGCAGAAGAAAGUGUAAAUACAUAGAUAAUAUUCAGCUGAGUGAGAAUUUGAAUACAUGAGAAAGGGGGAACCAAAGGCAAAAUAGUUUCCCAAGUGUUUUAUGAUCAUGCACUUUCUAAAGAUCCUGUCUGUGUCCUCCAUAUAUACACUCAUGUACACUUACCAUGAAAAGCCUGCACCUGCUUUUCCUCUCUGUAGACCUAGGCAUCAUCUUUGUUGAAAUAGCAACGUUUCAUCUCCAAUAAUAUGGGAAAUUAAACAAUGUUAAAGACAGAGGUAAAUUUCAUGAGAGGUAAUCGGAGAGGAUUACUGCCAUCCAUGGCCAUGGAUAAAGAUCUAUCCCAGUCACUGGGGCUGUCGUACCCAGCACCACCACUAAUCCAUCAUCUUUUCUUUGACAAUAGCCAAUAUCAGGGUAUAGUAAUUAACUUUAGUGAAAGUCACCCAGGAUUUAAAAUAAGUGUGCUUUAGCAAUGAUAUGUACAAGGGUGUUUGAAGUCUGUGCAGGAACUAUUGACCUGUUGUACUCCAUUUUCGAAUUCAGCACUCAAUAAAAUAACCAUUUCAUCUAA